UGCCUACGGGAGGCAGCAGUGAGGAAUAUUGGUCAAUGGGAGAGAUCCUGAACCAGCCAAGCCGCGUGAGGGAAGACGGCCCUAUGGGUUGUAAACCUCUUUUGUCGGAGAGCAAAAAGCGGUACGUGUACCGCAUCGAGAGUACCCGGAGAAAAAGCAUCGGCUAACUCCGUGCCAGCAGCCGCGGUAAUACGGAGGAUGCGAGCGUUAUCCGGAUUUAUUGGGUUUAAAGGGUGCGCAGGCGGCGAGUUAAGUCAGCGGUAAAAUUUCGGGGCUCAACCCCGACGAGCCGUUGAAACUGGCUU
rnacentral:rRNA from 1 species